ACUCCCAACCCAUGUGAACUUACCUUUUGUUGCCUCGGCAGAAGUUAUAGGUCUUCUUAUAGCUGCUGCCGGUGGACCAUUAAACUCUUGUUAUUUUAUGUAAUCUGAGCGUCUUAUUUUAAUAAGUCAAAACUUUCAACAACGGAUCUCUUGGUUCUGGCAUCGAUGAAGAACGCAGCGAAAUGCGAUAAGUAAUGUGAAUUGCAGAAUUCAGUGAAUCAUCGAAUCUUUGAACGCACAUUGCGCCCAUUAGUAUUCUAGUGGGCAUGCCUGUUCGAGCGUCAUUUCAACCCUUAAGCCUAGCUUAGUGUUGGGAAUCUACUUCUCUUAGGAGUUGUAGUUCCUGAAAUACAACGGCGGAUUUGUAGUAUCCUCUGAGCGUAGUAAUUUUUUUCUCGCUUUUGUUAGGUGCUAUAACUCCCAGCCGCUAAACCCCCAAUUUUUUGUGGUUGACCUCGGAUCAGGU
rnacentral:rRNA from 1 species